GAGCGUUGUCCGGAAUCACUGGGCGUAAAGGGCGCGUAGGCGGCGCGGAUAGUCGGCGGUGAAAGCCCGGAGCUCAACUCCGGGUCGGCCGUCGAUACUUCCGGGCUUGAGCACUGUAGAGGCAGAUGGAAUUCCGGGUGUAGCGGUGGAAUGCGUAGAGAUCCGGAAGAACACCGGUGGCGAAGGCGGUCUGCUGGGCAGUUGCUGACGCUGAUGCGCGACAGCGUGGGGAGCAAACAGG
rnacentral:rRNA from 1 species